rnacentral:lncRNA from 1 species
GUUGCUGCAUUGUCAUCCUAGUCAUCUGGUUGGCUAACUUUGCAAUAUUGAAUCUCAUGGCUGACAAGUUGUCGAGCUUAGGUACUUCAGCUGGUUUUUGCUUAAUUUCCUUCCGUGAAUCACCCUCACCUUGCCAAUUAUGAUCAUUAGCAGUGAAGUUAUUCAGCAAGAUUUGGAUUUCACUAUACGGUCUAGCCAUGAAACUACCCCCACAAGCUGAAUCAAGAUUCAUCUUUGAUGCAUCAUCUAAU